AGCACUAAGUCACUUUGUCUAUAUGGCAAACGUGAGAUGCAGUGUAUGGAGCGUCAAUAUUCUAGUAUAGAAAUUAACGAUUUAAGUCCUUCUUAAAUGAGGCCAUUUACCCAUAGAGGGUGCCAGGCCCGUAUAACGUUAAUGAUUACUAGAUGAUGUUUCCAAAGAGUCGUGUUGCUUGAUAGUGCAGCACUAAGUGGGUGGUAAACUCCAUCUAAAACUAAAUAUAACCAUGAGACCGAUAGUAAACAAGUACCGUGAGGGAAAGUUGAAAGAGAACUCUGAAUAGAGAGUUAAACAGUACGUGAAACUGCUUAGAGGUUAAGCCCGAUGAACCUGAAUAUCCGUUAUGGAAAAUUCAUCAUUAAAGUUGUAAUAUUUUAACAAUAUUAUAAUAAUAGUGUGCAUUUUUUCCAUAUAAGGACAUUGUAAUCUAUUAGCAUAUAACAAAUUUAUCAUAAAAUAUGACUUAUAGUUUAUUCAAAUUAUUAUGCUUGCAUUUUAACAUAGAAUAAAUGUCAUUAAUUUGAUAAAGUGUUGAUAAAUUAAAAUUAAUACAGUGCGUUAAUUUUUCGAAAUUAUAUAAUGGCAUAAUUAUCAUUGAUUUUUGUGUUUAUUAUAUGCAUUUGUAUGAUUAACAAUGCGAAAGAUUCAGGAUACCUUCGGGACCCGUCUUGAAACACGGACCAAGGAGUCUAACAUAUGUGCAAGUUAUUGGGAGAUAAACCUAAUAGCGUAAUUAACUUGACUAAUAAUGGGAUUAGUUUUUUAACUAUUUAUAGAUAAUUAACACAAUCCCGGGGCGUUCUAUAUAGUUAUGUAUAAUAAUAUUAUAUUAUUUAUGCCUCUAACUGGAACGUACCUUGAGCAUAUAUGCUGUGACCCGAAAGAUGGUGAACUAUACUUGAUCAGGUUGAAGUCAGGGAAACCCUGAUGGAAGACCGAAACAGUUCUGACGUGCAAAUCGAUUGUCAAUUGAGUAUAGGGGCGAAAGACCAAUCGAACCAUCUAGUAGCUGGUUCCUUCCGAAGUUUCCCUCAGGAUAGCUGGUGCAUUUUAAUGUUAUAUAAAAUAAUCUUAUCUGGUAAAGCGAAUGAUUAGAGGCCUUAGGGUCGAAACGAUCUUAACCUAUUCUCAAACUUUAAAUGGGUAAGAACCUUAACUUUCUUGAUAUGAAGUUUAAGGUUAUGAUAUAAUGUGCCCAGUGGGCCACUUUUGGUAAGCAGAACUGGCGCUGUGGGAUGAACCAAACGUAAUGUUACGGUGCCCAAAUUAACAACUCAUGCAGAAACCAUGAAAGGCGUUGGUUGCUUAAAACAGCAGGACGGUGAUCAUGGAAGUCGAAAUCCGCUAAGGAGUGUGUAACAACUCACCUGCCGAAGCAACUAGCCCUUAAAUGGAUGGCGCUUAGUUGUAUACCUAUACAUUACCGCUAAAGUAGAUGAUUUAUAUUACUUGUGAUAUAAAUUUUGAAACUUUAGUGAGUAGGAAGGUACAAUGGUAUGCGUAGAAGUGUUUGGCGUAAGCCUUCAUGGAGCUGCCAUUGGCACAGAUCUUGGUGGUAGUAGCAAAUAAUCGAAUGAGACCUUGGAGGACUGAAGUGGAGAAGGGUUUCGUGUGAACAGUGGUUGAUCACGAGUUAGUCGUCCUAAGUUCAAGGCGAAAGCCGAAAAUUUUCAAGUAAAAAUCAGUGAGUAAUAUUGUCAAAUCUUUUAUGAUUUUUAAAUACUUGAAUAAUUUUGAACGAAAGGGAAUACGGUUCCAAUUCCGUAACCUGUUGAGUAUCCGUUUGUUAUUAAAUAUGGGCCUCGUGCUCAUCCUGGCAACAGGAACGACCAUAAAGAAGCCGUCGAGAGAUAUCGGAAGAGUUUUCUUUUCUGUUUUAUAGCCGUACUACCAUGGAAGUCUUUCGCAGAGAGAUAUGGUAGAUGGGCUAGAAGAGCAUGACAUAUACUGUUGUGUCGAUAUUUUCUCCUCGGACCUUGAAAAUUUAUGGUGGGACACGCAAACUUCUCAACAGGCCGUACCAAUAUCCGCAGCUGGUCUCCAAGGUGAAGAGUCUCUAGUCGAUAGAAUAAUGUAGGUAAGGGAAGUCGGCAAAUUAGAUCCGUAACUUCGGGAUAAGGAUUGGCUCUGAAGAUUGAGAUAGUCGGGCUUGAUUGGGAAACAAUAACAUGGUUUAUGUGCUCGUUCUGGGUAAAUAGAGUUUCUAUCAUUUAUGGUAGUUUACUUGUUCCCCGGAUAGUUUAGUUACGUAGCCAAUUGUGGAACUUUCUUGCUAAAAUUUUUAAGAAUACUAAUUGGGUUAAACCAGUUAGUUCUUAUUAAUUAUAACGAUUAUCAAUUAACAAUCAAUUCAGAACUGGCACGGACUUGGGGAAUCCGACUGUCUAAUUAAAACAAAGCAUUGUGAUGGCCCUAGCGGUGUUGACACAAUGUGAUUUCUGCCCAGUGCUCUGAAUGUCAAAGUGAAGAAAUUCAAGUAAGCGCGGGUCAACGGCGGGAGUAACUAUGACUCUCUAAGGUAGCCAAAUGCCUCGUCAUCUAAUUAGUGACGCGCAUGAAUGGAUUAACGAGAUUCCUACUGUCCCUAUCUACUAUCUAGCGAAACCACAGCCAAGGGAACGGGCUUGGAAUAAUUAGCGGGGAAAGAAGACCCUUUUGAGCUUGACUCUAAUCUGGCAGUGUAAGGAGACAUAAGAGGUGUAGCAUAAGUGGGAGAUAUUAGAUUUCGGUUUGGUAUCGACAAUGAAAUACCACUACUCUUAUUGUUUCCUUACUUACUUGAUUAAAUGGAACGUGUAUCAUUUCCUAGCCAUUAUACGGAUAUAUUUAUUAUAUCUUAUGGUAUUGGGUUUUGAUGCAAGCUUCUUGAUCAAAGUAUCACGAGUUUGUUAUAUAAUCGCAAACAAAUUCUUUAAUGAGAAAAUGCAUUUAUGUAUUUUCAAUUUGAAAAUUGGUAUAACUCCAAUUACUCAGGUAUGAUCCAAUUCAAGGACAUUGCCAGGUAGGGAGUUUGACUGGGGCGGUACAUCUCUCAAAUAAUAACGGAGGUGUCCCAAGGCCAGCUCAGUGCGGACAGAAACCACACAUAGAGCAAAAGGGCAAAUGCUGACUUGAUCUCGUGUUCAGUACACACAGGGACAGCAAAAGCUCGGCCUAUCGAUCCUUUUGGUUUAAAGAGUUUUUAACAAGAGGUGUCAGAAAAGUUACCAUAGGGAUAACUGGCUUGUGGCGGCCAAGCGUUCAUAGCGACGUCGCUUUUUGAUCCUUCGAUGUCGGCUCUUCCUAUCAUUGUGAAGCAAAUUCACCAAGCGUUGGAUUGUUCACCCAUGCAAGGGAACGUGAGCUGGGUUUAGACCGUCGUGAGACAGGUUAGUUUUACCCUACUAAUGACAAAACGUUGUUGCGACAGCAUUCCUGCGUAGUACGAGAGGAACCGCAGGUACGGGACCAAUGGCACAAUACUUGUUCGAGCGAACAGUGGUAUGACGCUACGUCCGUUGGAUUAUGCCUGAACGCCUCUAAGGUCGUAUCCGUGCUGGACUGCAAUGAUAAAUAAGGGGCAAUUUGCAUUGU
rnacentral:rRNA from 1 species